ensembl:lncRNA
GAAAACAUUAGAAUUAAAGGGAUAUACAUCCCUGGCACAUAGUAGAUCACAAUAAAUAUUGGUAACUGAUGACUAAAAUAAUAUAUGCAAUAAAACUAAUAAAAUAUGCAAUGAAGUCACAAAAAUGAUAAUUAUACCACAAGUUGCCUAUUUUACUCAUAUUUUCAUUGAAAAUUUCUGACAACCUAAGUAAAAAUAAAUAGUGUAGUAUAUAAGCUUCCUUAUUAAAUAAGAGGGUCUCUUCAGGGUCUGCAGAGAGUUUUUAAUUUAAUAUUAUUCUUAUUGCUGCUACCUCUUUUCUUGGAUCAGACUUGGAGCCCUUCCAGAGCAGAGACUGGGCUAAUACAAAUAAGUGCUUAUAGGGCUUGGUAAAUAACAUUACUGGGAAAACACGCUAGGUAUAUGGAGAUACCAGUACAAAGCUCUACUGAUUAAUCUCUAUAAAAAGGGCAACUGCUCUAGUUGACAGAUGCUUGAUAGGAAUAUCAGCUUAGUGUUGCCAGGUUUUUGUAUUUUUAAAAAGAAACCCCCCCAAUAUUAAGUUUUAAGGGUAAUUACACUAUAUGUAAAUGUUUGUAUUAUUUCUUAAAACCAAGUUGGGCCAAAUAUGUGACCAGCAGGCUACUAGGUUACAAAUUUUGGGUUAUAAUUUUUUAUUUUGAGUAUGUUUUCUUGCAUAUAGAAAUAUUUGUCAAUGCCUACCGAAUUAAUGGUUUCUAAAUGACAGACUGAACAACAGCAACAGAAGAAGGAAGAGGAGGAGGAGGGAGAGAAGGACAAAGAAGAGGAGAAGAAAGGGAGGAAGAAGGAGAAAAAGAAGAAUCUUCAUUGUUUUCAUCAUCGCCAUGACAUUUCCAUUUUACAUGAUGUAGCAUUGAAAAGAUAUUGGCCUACUACCCAUUGCCACCCCCCUAACCCUUCCAUCCCCGCCUUCAAGCAAAGAUGCACAUUACCUAAAGUUAGGGAUCAGAAAAGCAAAAAGACAGGAAAAAAAAGGUAAGUUCUCUUUGGAUUUUGUGUUCACUUUGUAAAAUUUGGUUAUAAAUUUAAAAUGUGUGAGAAAAGAAUGGGCAAAACACUGGAACUUUCCCAGGAAAUACUAUCCGCCCCCCAAAAUGCCUUGGAUUUAGAUAAACUGAAAGUUGAAUCUUAGAGAGGCAUCUGGCAAUCCACCACUGCAUGCAAGCCAGAGAAACUAUCAAGACACCACAGAGGAAAUGGAUAUAUGCAGAAUCCAAAGGCAGAAGCCAUAUGAAGCCUGGUAGAGAUUCCUGAGUUAUUGCUAUAGAGGCCACUCUCUCAUCCCUCUCAGAUAAUUACUCCUACUUAUUUUCAGAACUUAAUUACACUAUGACUUCUUCAUAAAUGCCCUCUGUUAUAUGCUCUCAAGCACUUUACUACUUACCACUUACAUAACAUUCAAAAUUAGAAAUGUAUUUGAAUGAUUUUAUGAUAGUGUCCCCAGUUUUAUGAUAACUGUCCCCUGAAAGCCCAAAGCUACCAUUUCCAAAUGACCUUCCUACCAAUUUAUACAUUCCUGGUUUCUUUAGAGUAUCACAUUCUACCAUCUGUCUUUUAAAAACUCUUGUUUCUUCAAAACAAUUCACCUCUAAUAAUUUUAUAAAAGAAUUUUAAACAUAAAAUGUUAUUCUAAUUUUCAUAACAGC